rnacentral:lncRNA from 1 species
UGUUGUUUGUUUCUUUCCGUUGUUGCUUCUUAGUUCCGGUAAUGUUGCGUUCAUGAGGAUUCGUUCGAUUGCUCCCGUUCGUCUUCUUCAUGGACUCGUUCUUCUUCCUUGCGGGAUCUCAGGCAAGAUGACCACUACCCUGGAUCGCACUACUAUCAUUGCUAUGCUAGUUGCUUCGUUCUAUCGCUAUGUUGCGCUACCUAUUACCUGUUUAUCAAGCCAUCCCAAAUUGUCAUGUCAGCCUCUAACCUUUGACACCUUUCCUAUGCAAACCGUUGCUUGGCUAUGUUACCGCUUUGCUCAGCCCUCUUAUAGCGUUGCUAGUUGUAGGUGAAGUUGAAGAUUGCUCCAUGGUGGACAGGAUUUUGGUUGGGAUAUCACAAUAUCUCUUAUAUUAUUAAUGCAUCUAUAUACUUGGUAAAGGGUGGAAGGCUCGGCCUUAUGCCUGGUGUUUUGUUCCACUCUUGCCGCCCUAGUUUCCGUCAUACCGGUGUUAUGUUCCCAGAUUUUGCGUUCCUUACGCGGUCGGGUGAUUUAUGGGACCCCCUUGACAGUUCGCUUUGAAUAAAACUCCUCCAGCAAGGCCCAACCUUGGUUUUACCAUUUGCCUCACCACCACCUAUAUUUCCCUUGGGAGUAAUUAACGCAAGGGUCAUCUUUAUUUUAGCCCCCCCGGGCCAGUGCUUGUCUAAGUGUUGGUCCGAACCGGGCAGACUGCGGGGCCACCUCGGGGCAACUCGAGGGCUGGUUUUACUCGUAGGCUGACCUAUCCGGUGUUGCCCUGAGAACAAGAUAUGCGCAGCUCCUAUCAGGAUUGUCGGUGCAUCGGGCGGCUUUGCUGGUCUUGUUUUACCAUUGUCGAAAUGUCUUGUAAACCGGGAUUCCAAGUCUGAUCGGGUCUUCCUGGGAGAAGGUCUAUUCCUUCGUUGAUCGCGAGAGCUUGUCAUGGGCUAAGUUGGGACACCCCUGCAGGGUAUAACCUUUCGAAAGCCGUGCCUGCGGUUAUAGGCAGAUGGGAAUUUGUUAAUGUCCGGUUGUAGACAACUUGACACCAGAUCCGAAUUAAAACGCAUCAACCGCGUGUGUAGCCGUGAUGGUCCCUUCUCGGCGGAGUCCGGGAAGUGAACACGGUCUUUGGGUUAUUAUUGGCGUAAGUAGGAGUUCAGGAUCACUUCUUGAUCAUUGCUAGCUUCACGACCGUUCCGCUUGCUCUCUUCUCGCUCUUAUUUGCGUACGUUAGCCACCAUAUAUGCUUAGUCGCUGCUGCAGCCUCACCACUUUACCCCUUCCUUUCCCUUUAAGCUUUGCUAGUCUUGAUACCCAUUUUAAUGGGAUUGCUGAGUCCUCGUGGCUCACAGAUUACUACAACAACAGUUGCAGGUACAGGUUAUGCGAUGAUCAUGACGCGAGAGCGAUGCUUGCUUGCCUUGAGUUCUUCUUCUGCUUCUUCUUCGAUCAGGGGAUAGGUUCCAGGUCGGCAGCCUGGGCUAGCAGGGUGGAUGUCGUUUGAGUUUCUGUUUGUGAUUCAUCCGUAGACGGAUGAUGCUAUUAUGUAUUGUGAUGUUGUAUUCGUGUGGCAUUGUAUGCCUUAUGUAUGUAUCCCCAUCUAUUAUGUAAUGUUGAUGUAAUGAUAUCCACCUUGCAAAAGCAUUUCAAUAUGCGGGUCUAUCCUUGGUGGGACCUUCGAGUUCCUUUUGGAUAGGGUCGCAUAUUGGGCGUGACAAGGGGCAGUACAUUACACAAAAUCGUAGGUGGCAUGUAGGAAUUCCAGUGCACUACAUUAGGCUCCCAUAGAGUGCCUGCUAGUCCAGCAUACAGAGUCAUGGCUAGUUUAUGGUACGCACACAAUCGUUAAUUUGUGGUUUAAAUAUGCGCAAGGGACAUGCGAUGUAGUAUCAUGUAGAG